rnacentral:lncRNA from 1 species
UUGAUUAAUGUUUUCUUAUUUAAGCAACCUUUACUUUCUUAAAAAGAGGGUGGGCUUGUUUAAAAAUGUUAAUCUUAGAAUUUGACAUUGAAUUUUAGAUUGGUAAUUUGGUAGAAUUUCUCAUUCGAAUUUUUUUGGUAAGAAAAAGAAAAAUAUGCAUGCAUUUAGAGCGGCUAUACGUUUGAUAGAUAGAAAUUUUUGUCUAAUCUUAAGUAUUCUUUAAAACGUCCAAUCUACCAUAUUAAACACGCUCUAAACCUCUAGACCAGACGUUUAAGAAAGAGAGAGACGUGAAAGAAUCUUGAUUUGAUUAACAUAGUGCUUGCCUAUCUCCUUUCUUAUCUUUACCUAGAGUCAUCCAUUCCACAUCCCUUUAUCCCUCCUUAUCUUUAUUUAAAGCACAGGGAAAUUCUCCAAGCAAAUUCUUGGUAGUGUCCUUAGCCAUUUGAGGAACCCUUCAAAAGGUACUCUCCAUGAUCACUAUUCAGGUUUUUGAUUUUGGGAAAUUAUUUGUCAACAAAAGUUUGAUUCUUUUUACAUUCUUUUUUCUACAUUCCCUCAAAUGUCAGCCACAUAAUUUUCUUACAUAAACUGUACAACGUUUAAUGAUUUCAGGACAGUAACAACAUCAAUUCAAACAAUGAGUAGUAAAGAUAUGAAGGUUGAAAUUCCCUCAGAGUCUGAAGUUAUAUCUCCAUCAUCUGCUGGGAAGCUUGCUAGACAAGGAAGUACUUCAAGAAAUAAUUGCUUAUGCUCACCAACAACUCAUGCAGGUUCCUUCCGUUGCAGGCUUCAUCGUACCCCGACCCCGUCCCUCAACCAUACAAAGAGCAUCGACUCAACAUCUUUCCAGGAUACUCGAUCCAAAGCCAAUCCGAGUACGGAUACUUCCAGGCAAAAUAAUGCUAUGAACAAUCAAGCUGUGUUCUGUGAUUAAUUUAUGGGUUUUAUGAGUUUUAUUUCUGAUAGAUAGGCCUAUUAUGCAGCAUAUCAGAAGGCCUAACUCCUAAGCCAAAAAUUGUAGUUUCAACCCAUAUAUGAAUUCUGUGUAUUGGUUAAUUUGAGACCUUUUUUUGCCUUCUUUCAGUGCUCUAUUUCUGCUACAAGAAUAACGUUAAUGAAUAAUCAUUGUCUAAGCACGAAUGAUCAUCACAAACAAGGAUUAUGGAAU